CCUACGGGAGGCAGCAGUGGGGAAUAUUGGACAAUGGGGGAAACCCUGAUCCAGCGACGCCGCGUGAGUGAAGAAGUAUUUCGGUAUGUAAAGCUCUAUCAGCAGGGAAGAAAAUGACGGUACCUGACUAAGAAGCCCCGGCUAACUACGUGCCAGCAGCCGCGGUAAUACGGAGGGUGCGAGCGUUAAUCGGAGUUACUGGGCUGAAAGCGAGCGUAGGCGGUAGGUCAAGUCAAGGGUGAAAUCCCCGCGCUCAACGUGGGAACUGCCUUUGAAACUGGCAACCUGGAGUGCGUGGGAGGAUAGUGGAAUUCCAGGUGUAGGGGUGAAAUCCGUAGAUAUCAGGAGGAACAUCAGUGGCGAAGGCGACUAUCUGGCACAUAACUGACGCUGAGGCGCGAAAGCGUGGGUAGCAAACAGGAUUAGAUACCCUAGUAGUC
rnacentral:rRNA from 1 species